rnacentral:lncRNA from 1 species
AGUCAGAGACUUUGAGAAGUCCCACGCAACAUCGGGGAUAUACUUAUGCUUAAAAUUAUGAAUAAUUUUUAGGACAAAUUUCAGAUAAGAUGUUAGUAGAAACAAGAGUUUUCAGUUUUAAUAAAAAUUAAUGAACUAUUUUUAUGCAUGACUUUCUGAUAUUGUCUUAUGCAACAUGUAGGACAUACGUACAACUAAAAAAUGAUUCAUCAUUUACCCGAAAUUCAAACGUAAACCGGGCACCCUGUACUCUUUCCCGUCCUGUGUUUUUAUUUGCUCGGCCCCCAAGGAGCUUUACCAGGCCAGGGAUGCGUGGGGACGGGCCUGCCCUUUGUAAGGACCGGGUGCGUCUUGCCACCUGCCGCUCACACAUUCCCAUGGGGUGUGCAAGACGAUCCAGUGGCCACGUGCUGGACGACGCCACUGGAGAGUGGUGGUCGGCUGGUGGAGGUGGACAGAGCUCUGUCCAGGCUCUGGGCCUUGGGCUUUGGCCUCACUCUUCUCUGGCCUUGGUGUCAGCACCUCUAAGGUGGGGGCACCAGUUCCCUCCCAGGCUCGCUCCCCACACUCCCAUCUGCAUCCCCCACAUGCAGAUCGGUCAGGAACUGUCCCAAUGGGAGAAGUGUAUGAGGUGGAGCUGUGCACCCCAGGGGGAGGCAGCCCCGGACGUGCCACGUCUUGAUGCUGGGGAGACACCAGCGGGUCCUGUCCCUUCGGGGCGGGGGGUGCUUCUUUCUGUGACCAAAUGUCUAGCAUGCCGGCCACGGCUCACGGCCAGUCUGAGUCUGUUUUCCAACCCAGCACCCUUCCUUGUGAUGCGUGCUCUUCUUUCCAGAGGCUUCUGGAGCUCAGAAUUGCUUUCCUCAGUUUCCCUAAAAACCCGUGUUGAACUGGCCACGUCAGAGGCAUUGUGGAGGACGGGGACGUCUCUAGGCCAGGGCUGCCCGGCGGCCAGGUGUCGGGGCUCCGUGGGCCUCCCUCCCUGCACAGAGCAGGGUCCUCAGCGGCCCAGCCAGGGCCUCCCCAGAGGAGUCGCUCCCCUCCUCAGGGGCAGAAGGGCCCCCACCUGAGAGCGGAGCUGGGAGCCCAGAGGACCUGCCGUGAUGACAAGGUUGCGUCUGUCCCCCCAAUUCCAAGAAUGAAACAGCCCCAUGCCUCCCCUCCCCGCUCCCCUCUCCUUUCCCUCCCUCCAUCUCCCUGCCUCCCCCGCCCCCCCCCGCUCGCUGCUUCUUCUCUUCCCUUUCCUCUGUUUCCUUUCUUUCUUUCCAAAUGUAACCACGACAAGAAGCAGAGUGAGAUUCCAGGCCCUAGAGA